rnacentral:lncRNA from 1 species
AUAUGUACUGCCUUGGCCUCUUCGAUAGUCUAUCACCAAGGCGCUUGAAAAUUAGCCUUUGAAACUAGCUGAAGUCUUCCAAGACUUGUGAUACUUCUUCUUGGGAGAGUCGAACUGGUGGUGUCAAGUUGUUGAUUUCGUCUUCAGACUCUCCCGGGAACUGGAUCUCUUCAGCAGAUGAGCUGGAGCCUGCAUGUUGAUCAACAUUCUUGUUCAAUUUAGAAAUUUCUAUUUCAGCCUCGUAGCGGAGCAACUACAAACCUUUCCCAUAUUGCUCAUGCUUUAGAGCAUAUUCUCUUCCAGUAAAAGUCUGCAGCCUCUUCUUUGAAGUUGCAUUGGCCUUCACCCCCC